rnacentral:rRNA from 1 species
AGUGAACGCUGGCGGUAGGCCUAACACAUGCAAGUCGAACGGCAGCACAGUAAGAGCUUGCUCUUACGGGUGGCGAGUGGCGGACGGGUGAGGAAUACAUCGGAAUCUACUUUUUCGUGGGGGAUAACGUAGGGAAACUUACGCUAAUACCGCAUACGACCUACGGGUGAAAGCAGGGGAUCUUCGGACCUUGCGCGAUUGAAUGAGCCGAUGUCGGAUUAGCUAGUUGGCGGGGUAAAGGCCCACCAAGGCGACGAUCCGUAGCUGGUCUGAGAGGAUGAACAGCCACAACGGAACUGGGACAAGGGCCAGACUCCUAAGGGAGGCAGCAGUGGGGAAAAUUGGACAAAGGGGGGAAGCCUGAACCAGGCAAACCGGGUGGGGGAAGAAGGCCUUCGGGGUGGAAAGCCCUUUUGUUGGGAAAGAAAAGCAGCAGGUUAAAAACCCGCUGGUCUGACGGUACCCAAAGAAUAAGGAACGGCUAAAUUCGUG